AUUUUGAAACCAGACAACAAACACACACAUAUUCAUUGGCCCUCUCUCUCCCUCUCGACUAAACUCCGGCGACCGGAGCAGAAUCCGGCCGGCCGGUGCCGGUUUCCGGCACCUCACUCCCCUCACACACACCCACUUCUCCUGCUCCUCUUUUUCUGAUGAACAGCGCCAGCGACAUGCCGGCUGAUGCUGGUCGUAUUCCGGCAGACCACUCGAGAAACCUCAUCACUGACAGACCCCCCCCCCCCGAUGAACAUCAGCAAUGGUAGUGCUGGUAAACAACUCGGUCCGGCGGUCGGCGUCUCGACUCGGCGGUCGGAGACCAGGUCCGGCGGUCAACGUCAAGGACCGGCGGUCCUUGUCUUUAUCCGACAGGCUUCACCGGUGAUGAUGCUGAUGAGGUCAGCGGUGAUGGUGCUCGACGAAAUCGCCGGCGACGGUUGUUGAGUCCGACGAUGAUAGGGGUGUCCGACUCGGGUUCAGCUCAGAUUCGGGUUCGGAAUUCGGGUCUCGGCUCAGAUCGGGUUCAGUUCGGUCAGAAUAGUCAAUUUCAGAUGUGGUUCGAGUCAACUCGGUCAACCGAGUUAACUCGUUCAACUCAGACAAUGCGAGUCAACUCAGCCCGAUGCGAGUCAACACAGCGGGUACGGGUCAGACGGUUCGGGUCACGGCUUCUGUUCACAUGUUCGGAUCAAGUUCAGCAAGGUCAACGGUUCGGUCCGGGUCAAGCGGCUUCGUGUCAGAGUUCGUGGAACAGUACGGUUCGUGUCAGACUCAGUCAAACCGAGCCAACUGGGUCAAACCCGGUCAACUCAGCCGGUCGACUCAGUCAAACUGUGGGUCAACUCAGUCAUACUAAUCGAUGGAACGGCACGAGGAUUUGGAAUAUUGUUGAAUGCACACUAGCGAGUCUCGUCUUGGAAACGACAUCGCAAAGUCGUAUUUAGCUAGCUUUGCACAGGAAUAUUCAGGUUACUUUUCAAAGUUAUGGCACGGUUGGAAUAGGAGAAUCAUUGGAAAUUCGAGUACUUAGCAGGCGUUCAAUUUUUAGAAGUCUUAGCUUAUUUGCUUCCGCUGUGCAAUGAAGAUACCAGUCCAGUCACACCAGCUCUGAUAAUUUUGGGGUGUGAUAGAUUGUUAUCAGAGCUAUAGGUUACAGCGAAUUAGGUUUCUGUAGGAAUACCUAGGCUCUAACCUCACUUUUCUCUGGGACUUAGACUAUUAAUACGUACAGAACGCCUAGUACUCGAAUAUGGUCUCCAACCGUUGCCGAAAACAAAAAAGGUCAGAAUUUUGAUUUUUAAACAUACGCUAUUGUGGUGCUUCAUACACGGUUCACAAAACAAAUACGCACGGUAAACAAAACUCUGAGAGUUUAGGAAACAUGCAUUUAAGACCUUCGGAAACUUAUGUCUAAGUUCAUUAAAGGUCAUCACGUAGGAACCGCGAAUAUUAACUCGGGCACAUAUUAUUAUCCAUAUUGUCUAUGAUAUUCUAACUUCCCGAGCAGGCAGCCUACGCAUAACAAAAACGCUAGUGCACGAGAAUACAUGGAACUCAGUCUUUACGUCAACGGAUGUCGGAGUACAUCACGUCUUACGCGAAACAUAACGCUAGUGCACAGGUAUACGUGAAACUUAAGCUAUAUGUCAACGGAGGUGGAAGUACGACACAUACGACUAUCGAGGCGAGGCCUUUUAAAAGACACGAUGGCGUAAUUCAAUGACGACGCUAGAUUCCUGUGAGCAGGAGGACUAACGACCAGAAAACACGACAACUUGUCACGCGACCCUGCAACGACACGGAUCACUCCAAGGAAAAGACGUAUGCCUCCACAUCCCCCUAUUUCAGUUAACGACGAAUACGCUAAGUUCGACAUUCCAUGGUAAUGUCAACUAAUAACCGGCCGUCACACGAAACCCCAGGUAAAGUCCUCAAAUUUCUUUUGUUAAAAUUUCGACUUUCACACUUACUGAGUAGAUUUUGGUAUCUCUACUCCUCUUAAUGGUCAUUGUAUCACGAUCAUUUCCUUCAGUAUAGCGAAUAUUCAUAGGCUUCAUUUCUUGAAAAUUCAUAUGCUACGCAUGCAUCGUUUGUUGCGCAUGUGGUUUCGUUUCGAAUGAGCGUUUCAUCAAAAGUUCAAAUAUUGAUUCGCUAAACCUAAUUAUUGAUUUGUGAUUCGAAUGACUCGCAUUAUUGUAAUGGUUGGCUCCCUUGUUAUCAAGUCAACACAUUUUCUUGAAAUUUCUUUUCUUUCAAGUUACAUACAUGGUUUUCAUUGCGACCAUGCCGAAAGUUUUCUUGUCGAUACAUGUAUUUAUUAUCGGCUUGCGCCGAAACCAGGUUCGAUUGUUUGAACUUCUUCAUUUCACUCAUUCAAUUCAAGAUACCAUAUGAUGUAUUGAAGACAUCAUAUUCAAAUUCGUUUUAACAAGUGUUUCAUUUGUUCCAAGUUGAAGUAAACUUGUUGGGCAUUCGACUCCAUUAAAUUGUUUGUUGAUUUCGACACCUUGUGGUGGUAUUUUCACUUGUCUGAAGCCGGAGCUAAACUCGUUUACAUGUCUCAUGCACAGAUUUAACUAUUUAUUUAUUGCUUAAAAUCCGCUUUGAUUUAUCAUAUUACAGCAGUCUUAACACAAUCGUGCGUUAAGACAAUGGUACACCAGCUCAUUUUAAAUUCCGGUGUACCUACUAACGGUACAUUCAUUUAUCGAUCGAAUGUUUUGCGAAAUUCAUUGCUUCUUCGUCUUCGAUCGAAAACAUUAUUUCUUUGAUGUUCCAUUUUCAAUUGAAAAUUCUAUAAUGUCAUUUGAAACAAAUUUUCAUAUUUACUUCACUGCGCUUUCAAUUGACUGUAAAACACAGGUGAUACUUGUUCGAUCACCUCUAUUAUUGAAUUGUUUCAUUCAUUGCGACACCUUGUGGCGUCGAUAUAACUUGCAGCUUGUGCUGAUCACGAUCGAGCGUUUCAUGCAAACUAUUAUAUUUGAGGUUGUUGAUUCUAAGUUCAUCCAGUGGAUGUUAUUGCUUCUAGAACUCAUUUACACAUUGUAAACGUUCAUAUGGAAUUCGAUUGGUCGAAGUUCCUGUUCAUUGUUGAAUUCCUGUUAACUUAGUCACAUUAGUGACUGUACCUAUACGUCUCGUUUCCUUUGACAUCAAUUACUGAGACACAUUUCCUUUAAACCGUUGGGUUCUUAUUGUUGAGUAAUGUCAUUAAAUUCACAUGAUUCGAAUAAGUCUUGUUUCGAUUACGCAGUCAUUCACUUUGUUAUUAUUCGGACUUACCUGUGAACAACACAAUUACGAGGGGAUAACAUAGUCUAAAUUUCGAGUACGAAAUUUCUGUAACAGGGGGAGAAUGUGACAACCGGUGAUUUACGGAGCUUAAUUAAGCGAUUAACAUAUGUUUAAAACGAUGAUAAAUAAUGUUUAUGAUGUAGAUUAACUUAAUUAGGCCUCUGGAGUGCCUAGGAACGCUUGUCGGACGCUACAGUGCAUAUAUGGUGAUUUUCGGAACAACUGCGCAACGAUAAACGACAACGAACUGACACCGUACAAAAUACUGAUAACGCCGACAAAUAUAAAAUUUUUACGAUAUAUUUUAGCUUCGCAAUCAAAUUUUAGUAACUACAGUCGAAACUGGAGAAGAAAACGAAUUAGAAACGGCAACGAGGUAAUUCUUCGCGAUUUUUACCGCAACCGACUAACGAAAGCGUCCAACAUCGAAUACCGACACUAUUUUAUAUUUUUAACUAAAAAAAAUUUAUAAUUCACGAUAUUUUUACGAUAAUCGGGUUAUGAUAACGGGUUUCGUUGAAAUUAACGGGCCACACAAAACAAGCGAUUGGGCUUGUGGGCCUUGGGCCCAAGCCCAACGUCCAUUAACUAAAACUCUAAAUAUAUAUAAUAAGUGUUGAACCUUAUCUUCGUUCAUUUUGAUACCAGACAACAAACACACACAUAUUCAUUGGCCCUCUCUCUCCCUCUCGACUAAACUCCGGCGACCGGAGCAGAAUCUGGCCGGCCGGUGCCGGUUUCCGGCACCUCACUCCCCUCACACACACCCACUUCUCCUGGUCCUCUUUUUCUGAUGAACAGCGCCCGCGACAUGCCGGCUGGUGCUGGUCGUAUUCCGGCAGACCACUCGGGAAACCUCAUCACUUCGGCUCGGUUCUCAGGCGACAGACUCCCCCCCUCCGAUGAACAUCAGCAAUGGCAGCACUGGUAAACAACUCGGUCCGGCGGUCGGCGUCUUGACCUGGCGGUCGGAGACCCGGUCCGACGGUCGGCGUCAAGGACCGGCCGGUCCUUGUCUUUAUCCGACAGGCUUCACCGGUGAUGAUGCUGAUGAGGUCAGCGGUGAUGGUGCUCGAUGAAAUCGCCGGCGACGGUUGUGGAGUCCGAAGACGAUAGGGGUGUCCGACUUGGGUUCAGCUCAGAUUCGGGUUCGGAAUUCGGGUCUCGGCUCAGAUCGGGUUCGGUUUGGUCAGAAUGGUCAAUUUCAGAUGUGGUUCGAGUCAACUCGAUCAACUCAGACAAUGCGAGUCAACUCAGCUCGGUGCGAGUCAACACAGCGGGUACGGGUCAGACGGUUCGGGUCACGGCUUCUGUUCACAUGUUCGGAUCAAGUUCAGCAAGGUCAACGGUUCGGUCCGGGUCAAGUGGCUUCGGGUCAGAGUUCGUGGAACAGUACGGUUCUUGUCAGACUCAGUCAAACCGAGCCAACCUGGGUCAAACCCGGUCAACUCAGCCGGUCGACUCAGUCAAACUGUGGGUCAACUCAGUCAUACUAAUCGACGGAACGGCACGAGGAUUUGGAAUAUUGCAGAAUGCACGCUAGCGAGUCUCGUCUUGGAAACGACAUCGCAAAGUCGUAUUUAGCUAGCUUUGCACAGGAAUAUUCAGCUGAGUUCAUAACCUCCACUUUUUACUAUUUUACAUUUUUAUAAAUGUUUUCGGGGGUGGAAAGACAUGCACGUUUUUCAGAAAACAUACAAAGUUUUCGAUAAACAAGGACUGUAUAUUUUUAGACAAAGCACGUCUUGCAAGAACAUACACAGUUUUGAACAAACGCAAAACUCGUAUUUCUAAAUCAUAUUACGAAUGGAUUUCGAGGAACUCAAAUGAUUUACGAAAGGUUUAUACUAAAAUAUCGGUUUUUACAAAACAAAUGCGUAUUUUCGAAACGUGAAUGAUUUCCAUAACUAGGGAUGGAUCGUCUGGUGAUAAUAUAGAGGCUUGGGAGGUUCAGCCUUAGUGGCUGGGGAGGUUCAGCCUUAGUGGCUGGGAAGGUCCAGCCUUAGUGGCUGGGAAGGUCCAGCCUUAGUGGCUGGGGAGGUUCAGCCUUAGAGACUGGGGAGGUUCAGCCUUAGUGGCUGGGAAGGUUCAGCCUUAGUGGCUGGGGAGGUUCAGCCUUAGAGACUGGGGUAAAUACAUGUUACAAUUAAU